rnacentral:tRNA from 1 species
GGUGAGAUGGCCGAGUGGUUAUGGCGCCGUGUUCAGGCUAAUUUGGCAAGGAGGCUUAUAGUCUUCCUGUUAAAAUUCGCGGUGGAGCAAUCCGCGUGGGUUCGAGUCCCACUCUCAUCA